AUUCCAGCUCCAAUAGCGUAUAUUUAAGUUGUUGCAGUUAAAAAGCUCGUAGUUGGAUUUCGGUUGAGAGCGGCCGGUCCGCCGUUUGGUGUGCACUGGCUGGUUUCAGCUUCCUGCAGAGGACGCGCUCUGGGCUUAAUCGUCUGGACGUGGAGUCUGCGUGGUUACUUUGAAAAAAUUAGAGUGUUCAAGGCGGGCUUACGCUUGAAUAUUUCAGCAUGGAAUAACACUAUAGGACUCCUGUCCUAUUUCGUUGGUCUCGGGACGGGAGUAAUGAUUAAGAGGAACAGUUGGGGGCAUUCGUAUUUCAAUGUCAGAGGUGAAAUUCUUGGAUUUUUGAAAGACGAACUUCUGCGAAAGCAUUUGCCAAGGAUGUUUUCAUCA
rnacentral:rRNA from 1 species